UUCUUGUUCUUUUUACUGUGGCAAUUGUAGUGGCUGUUUUGCUCAAGAUUCAAAACAUUGAACACUUUGAGCUCAUUCAAUAUGUUUGAUUAGUUGCCCCAAAAAGUAAGGUUAUUGAAGUUUCUAUUUUCAGCUCUGUCUUAGCUAAGUUGUCUCAAAAAGAGGAUUUUUUUUCUUUUGCAUAACCUCGGGUAACUGUGUGAUUGCUUCUUCUUCUUGUUUGUCUUUCUAUUGAGUUGAAUACCAAAAGAUCGAUGACCCUUUUCUUAUUGCAAGAAAAUGGGGUAACCCUUUUCAUUUGAGUCCAAGAUUUGCUCAUCUGAAGUUCAAAUCUGGCGUUUUCUUCAGGUCAGAAUUGACUUUUUUCUUUAAUGAUGGGUAUUGGCUUUUUGUUGACUUCAUUCAAGAUUUGGUUGGUGGUGGUGUUGUGCUCUUCUGUAAGAAAGCUUUGAUUUUUUUUAUUUUUUCUUAUAUAUAUGGUGUUUCAUUGUUUGAUUAUAGAUCAAUACUUAGAGAAGCUUUGAAUGUUGAAGAAUGGACAAUGUAUUGUGAUUGACUCUUGUGCUGCCAAAAGAGUCUGGUGGUUAGUUGAGCUUGUGCUGAAUUUGCUAUUUUUGAGGAUAUUUUCACUGUACUUGAUGUACUAAGAUGGAGUUACUAACUGUUCUGGUUCUUAUAAGCUUUCCCCCAUUUUUAGCUGUCUAUAGUUUCAGAAAUUUUCACCAUAUUGAUUUAGUUGGAUAAGGCCUGUAAGGUAGAAUUACUUUGGUGUGCCAAAUUUAGUGAACUUCGUAUUGGUUACUUUUAGCUAGAGUCUCUUUGAAACAAUUUAGUGUUGCCUGGUUACUAUUAUGGCUUCGAUUAGAAGAACGUUGUCCCCAGUGCCUCGUCCUGGAAGCACUAUGAAUGGAGAAGUAUGUCCUGCAGCCUCUCCACUGUCCAAGUCUUCAUCAUGUACCAACAGUAAUACACCAACUGGUGCAUUGCUUCCUUCUUUUGGUUCAUUCGAUUAUGCCAUCUACAAGGUUCAGACAUUUGUAGUUGGUCUUUUGUCACGACGAUCUUCUAGGCCCUUAGAAAGGUCAAAGUUGAAGGGGCUCAUUUGGAGGAGAGCUAUUCUGCAAUUGUUUUUCUGCUUCAUUCUUGGAGUAUUUAUUGGCCUUACUCCAUUACUAAAUUUGUCAACAAAUUUUAUCUCUAAACAUCAAGCUUUAUCCUUUGAGGUCCUCCAGCCAGAAGAAAAUGCUCGAUCAUAUGAUGUAUCUAAAAAUGUGACUUCAACCACAGAGGACUUGCCUAUCAUAGAUAAUUCGACAUCAGAGCCUAACUUAGUACAUGUUGAACUGAAAGAAGACAUUGCCUACAAUGCCUCCUUUAAUCAAUCACUUGACCAAGAUCCGACAGUGUCCCGUAAACUUUUGAUUAUUGUGACUCCUACAGAAACCCGUCCAUUUCAAGCAUACUAUCUAAAUCGUCUGGCCUAUGCAUUAGAGUUGGUGCCUUCUCCUUUAUUGUGGAUAGUUGUUGAGAUGAACUCCCAAUCUGUUGAAACUGCUGAUAUAUUGAGAAGAACCGGAGUCAUGUACAGACAUCUUGUGUGCAGCAAGAACUCAACUGAUGUGAAAGAGAAAAAUGUGCAUCUAAGGAAUGUGGCACUCUCUCACAUUGAAACACACCACCUUGAUGGCAUUGUCUAUUUUGCUGAUGAGUACAACAUAUACUCUGCUGAUGUCUUCGAGCAGAUGAGACAGAUCAGCCGGAUCGGGACAUGGAUUGUGGCAAGACUAGCUGAAAAUAAUAGGAAAGUUAUCUUGCAGGGUCCAAUCUGUAACGGCUCUCAGGUUAUAGGUUGGCACACUGAAGGUAUGACAAAAAGACUUCAGAGAUUCUAUGCAGAAAUAUCGGGAUUUGCAUUCAAUAGUACGAUACUUUGGGAUACAAAGAGGUGGCACCGACCAACACUAGAACCUAUAAGGCAGUCUGAUACAGCCAAAGCUAGUUCUCAAGUGAGCACAUUUAUCGAACAAAUGGUGGAAGAUGAAAGCCAAAUGGAAGGCUUACCAAUGAACUGUUCAAGAAUCAUGGUUUGGCAAUUCAACAUGGAGAUAUUGUACCCAUAUCCUCAUGAAUGGAUGGUGAAGAAUUACUCAAGAACCAGUACUUCAGUUGGAUGACAAUUUUGACAUGCCGAUAGAUUCUUGAGCAUUUAUAAGGCUUGCAGCAGCUCCUUCGUUGUCCUAGGCAUAGUCCAAUUGUUUCCCACAAUGUUCAGGAUGAGGUCCCAGGUUUACUUGGUGAAUGAGCAGUGGAUGAAGAGGUGAUAUAUGUCCUCAUUUUGUCUUCCACACAAUGUGCAUCUGCGUAUAUUGACACCUCUUUUUGAAGAUUCUAAUGAGUUACCUAUGCUCUCAAACACACUAUCCAAGUAAAGCAUUCCACCUUCAAAAGUGCCUUAUUUCUCCAAAUACACUUCCAAGGGGAAAUUUAGUGAACAGUUAUGAGCGUCAGCUGCAAAUAUUUAUCGGACCAACCACUUGAAUGCUGUCAGUUUUGAGCUUGUAAUGUUUAACUACAUGCUGUAGUAUCUAAAGAGACCAAGGAGGCCAGUUAUCUCUGCCCUUUCCUCCCUCUCCCCACACUCCUCUUCCGUUUUCCUGUUCUGCUGCUAUAUCAGUAGAUAUUUAUCUGUACAGUUGCUUAGCUAGUCACGGUAUAGUCUUCUGGCUACCAAGUCAGAAGCAGCAAAACUGUGGCCAUAUGGAAAAAAAAUAUUUACAACAGAUAGGUGAGUUUCAAGUUCCUUGCCAAUUCUUUCUAAAACCAAGUUGAUGUCUGAAAUGGAGUAUUGUUCUUCAACUGGCUGCUUUACUUAUUGACUUGUGCAUAUGUUAAGGUGCUACUCCAUUAUUUGA